GCGAACGGGUGAGUAAUGCAUACCUAAUCUGCCCUUUAGAAGGGAAUAACCACGGGAAACUGUGGCUAAUACCCUAUACUCCGUUUUAUCACAAGGUAAAACGGGAAAUGUUUUUUCGCUAAAGGAUGAGGCUAUGUCCUAUCAGCUUGUUGGUGAGGUAAAAGCUCACCAAGGCUAUGACGGGUAGCUGGUCUGAGAGGAUGAUCAGCCACACUGGAACUGACACACGGUCCACACUCCUAUGGGAGGCACCAGUGGGGAAUAUUGCACAAUGGGCGAAAGCCUGAUGCAGAAAUGCCGCGUGGAGGAUGACGCAUUUAGGUGUGUAAACUCCUUUUAUAUGAGAAGAUUAUGACGGUAUCAUAUGAAUAAGGACCGGCUAACUCCGUGCCAGCAGCCGCGGUAAUACGGGGGGUCCAAGCGUUAUUCGGAAUCACUGGGCGUAAAGCGCGCGUAGGCUUUCUAGUAAGUCUUUUGUGAAAUCCUAUGGCUCAACCGUAAAUAUUAGAAGGAAUACCGAUGGCGAAAGCAACCUACUGGGAUGUUACUGACGCUAAGGUGCGAAAGCGUGGGGAGCAAACAGGAUUAGAUACCCUGGUAGUCCACGCCCUAAACGAUGAACACUAGUUGUUGGGAGACUUCGAUCUUCCAGUAACACAGCUAACGCGUUAAGUGUUCCGCCUGGGGAGUACGGUCGCAAGAUUAAAACUCAAAGGAAUAGACGGGGACCCGCACAAGCGGUGGAGCAUGUGGUUUAAUUCGAAGAUACGCGAAGAACCUUACCAAGGCUUGACAUCCUAAAAAUUUAUUAGAGAUAGUAGAGUGUCUGUUUACAGAAAUUUAGUGACAGGUGCUGCACGGCUGUCGUCAGCUCGUGUCGUGAGAUGUUGGGUUAAGUCCCGCAACGAGCGCAACCCUCGUCCCUAGUUGCUAACAGUUCGGCUGAGAACUCUAGGGAGACUGCCUUACGUAAGGGGGAGGAAGGUGAGGACGACGUCAAGUCAUCAUGGCCCUUAUGCCUUGGGCUACACACGUGCUACAAUGGAAGGUACAAUAAGUUGCAAUACCGCGAGGUGGAGCUAAUCUUAAAAGCCUUUCCCAGUUCGGAUUGGAGUCUGCAACUCGACUCCAUGAAGUUGGAAUCGCUAGUAAUCGCGAAUCAGCAAUGUCGCGGUGAAUACGUUCCCGGGUCUUGUACUCACCGCCCGUCACACCAUGGGAGUUGGUUUCACCCAAAAAUGGAAUGCUAACCUUCGGGGGGCUACCAUUUACGGUGGGGUCGGCGACUAGGGUGAAGUCGUAACAAGGUAACCGUAGGAGAACCUGCGGCUGGAUCACCUCCUUUCU
rnacentral:rRNA from 1 species